GCCUGGACUCCAGCUGAUGAACAUGAGGGCAGAGACAGCAGGAAUUUUUCACACGGCUUCUUUUUUUUCACACGGUAUUUUUAAUUGAACUAUAAUGUUUUUGUCAAAAGCUGUUUUAUUUAUGUUUCAAAAUGAAUGAUGAAUAUGACAGAGAACUCAACGAUUACUGUCCAUUAUGAAUGGGAAUACUACGAUGAUUAUCUUGAUUCUGUGCAUGUGGACCAGAGCACGCUGACCUACAACAAAUGUAAGUGUAAAUGUUCAAUAGAAAUAUGGAUUCUUUUCUUGUUUCAUGUUUAAAUGGCUGUUUUUUGUGUGUUUUUUCAGACUCAAUUGUUAUAAUAUUUUGGAUCAUUCUGUCUGCUUUUGUGGGAUUCCUCUUUCUCAGUUUAAAUAUGAUGUCUGGUGGUGGAAACUUUUCAAGGUAAUAAUCUGUGUUGACUUAAAAUACUCCAAUAUACUAAACAUUGUAUGUACACGUACGCAUCCAUGACUAAAUUCACCCACAAAGCUCCUUUUCUAACCCUUCACUUCUUUUUCUCACAGAAGUCGGAGAUCAAAAAGCAAACUAAGCCCCCAAACAUCAACAGCCUGAGAGACAACUGUUUUCUUGGAAAU